rnacentral:rRNA from 1 species
CCUACGGGCGGCUGCAGUGGGGAAUAUUGGACAAUGGGGGCAACCCUGAUCCAGCCAUGCCGCGUGUGUGAAGAAGGCCCUCGGGUUGUAAAGCACUUUCAGUGAGGAAGAACGCCUGGUGGUUAAUACCCAUCAGGAAAGACAUCACUCACAGAAGAAGCACCGGCUAACUCCGUGCCAGCAGCCGCGGUAAUACGGAGGGUGCGAGCGUUAAUCGGAAUUACUGGGCGUAAAGCGCGCGUAGGUGGCUUGAUAAGCCGGUUGUGAAAGCCCCGGGCUCAACCUGGGAACGGCAUCCGGAACUGUCAAGCUAGAGGGCAGGAGAGGAAGGUAGAAUUCCCGGUGUAGCGGUGAAAUGCGUAGAGAUCGGGAGGAAUACCAGUGGCGAAGGCGGCCUUCUGGACUGACACUGACACUGCGGUGCGAAAGCGUGGGUAGCAAACAGGAUUAGAUACCCCAGUAGUC